UACGUAGGUCCCGAGCGUUGUCCGGAUUUAUUGGGCGUAAAAGCGAGCGCAGGCGGUUUUGAUAAGUCUGAAGUUAAAAGGCUGUGGCUCAACCAUAGUUCGCUUUUGGAAAACUGUCAAAACUUGAGUGCAGAAGGGGAGAGUGGAAUUCCAUGUGUAGCGGUGAAAAUGCGUAGAUAUAUGGAGGAACACCGGUGGCGAAAAGCGGCUCUCUGGUCUGUAAACUGACGCUGAGGCUCGAAAAGCGUGGGGAGCGAACAGGAUUAGACUACCCCCGUAGUC
rnacentral:rRNA from 1 species